GCAGGGUUGUCCGAGCUGGCCGAAGGAGCACGAUUGGAAAUCGUGUAAUGCUUCAACGAGUAUUCGAGGGUUCGAAUCCCUUGCCCUGCGCCA
rnacentral:tRNA from 1 species